UACGUAGGGGGCGAGCGUUAUCCGGAUUUAUUGGGUUUAAAGGGUGCGUAGGCGGGAUGCCAAGUCAGCGGUAAAAAUGCGGUGCUCAACGCCGUCGAGCCGUUGAAACUGGCGUUCUUGAGUGGGCGAGAAGUAUGCGGAAUGCGUGGUGUAGCGGUGAAAUGCAUAGAUAUCACGCAGAACUCCGAUUGCGAAGGCAGCAUACCGGCGCCCUACUGACGCUGAGGCACGAAAGCGUGGGUAUCGAACAGG
rnacentral:rRNA from 1 species